CACGUAGGGCGCAAGCGUUGUCCGGAAUUAUUGGGCGUAAAGAGCUCGUAGGCGGUCUGUUGCGUCCGCUGUGAAAACUCGGGGCUUAACCCCGAGCCUGCAGUGGAUACGGGCAGACUAGAGGUAGGUAGGGGAGAAUGGAAUUCCCGGUGUAGCGGUGAAAUGUGUAGAGAUCGGGAGGAACACCGGUGGCGAAGGCGGGUCUCUGGGCAUCUCCUGACGCUGAGGCGCGAAAGCGUGGGGAGCAAACGGG
rnacentral:rRNA from 1 species